AUUGAACGCUGGCGGCAGGCCUAACACAUGCAAGUCGAGAGAGCGGCGGACGGGUGAGUAAUGUAUGGGGACUGCCCGAUAGAGGGGGAUAACUACUGGAAACGGUGGCUAAUACCGAAUACUGUCGGAUAACCCAUAUGGGAUUAGCUAGUAGGUAAGGUAAUGGCUUACCUAGGCGACGAUCCCUAGCUGGUCUGAGAGGAUGAUAGGCCACACUGGGAUGGAGACACGGCCCAGACUCCUACGGCGGCAGCAGUGGGGAAUAUUGCACAAUGGGCGCAAGCCUGAUGCAGCAAGGCCUCGUGUAUGAAGAAGGCCCUAGGGUUGUAAAGUAUUUUCAGUCGGGAGGCGUUACCGACAGAAGAAGCACCGGCUAACUCCGUGCCAGCCGCCGCGGUAAUAC
rnacentral:rRNA from 1 species